rnacentral:lncRNA from 1 species
CCCAAGCGUGCUGUGCUCACAGAUUCAUGAACACAUCUUUGUUUUAUGAAUCAGAACAGAAGUUGUAGGAAAAAAAAUAUCUGCCAUUAUUUGCCAUUCUUGAAUAUAAUCACAAGCAAAAUAGUAGCAAAUUUGCUGAGCAGUGGAAAAAAAAAAAAAAAGAAAAAGUCCUUUGACUAGCUAUUAGUUGAGGAUAAAGCACCUAUUACAGUGGGAACAGAAGAUAUCUGAUUUUCUUUGAAAUUGGAAAGGCAAUGGAAAAUGGAAACUCAUCCACCAAUGGUAUGCAGACUAUUUUGAGAGUGAACCUAAGCUGACUGACUUCCUUCAGUUGCCAAUUGCAGCUUGUUCUUAAGUUGGCAUCUCCUCAGUGUGAUCUCAUUGAAUAUCACAGCUCACAGGGAAUCUAAAUACUCUGUAGGGCUGUGCAAUAUUGUACUUUGCUCAUCCCAGUUCUGAAGCAAAGAUACACUUUUAUGUAUUACUGAUUUCUUAUCUUCCUAUCAGUUUUAUUAACUGUUUUUUGUGUGUUUUUUUUCCCCCAGUGUCAAGACGUUGCUGUUUCUGGGGUUUACUCAGUAGAAACUGCUGUAAGCCCCAUCACUGACUGAAAACACACCCUCUGAAUGGCACAUUCAAUUGCACAAUUUGUGGUAAACUAAUUAAAGGAGUCUAUCAUUGAUAAUGAAGCUGUGGCAACAAAACUGUUUCAUGAAUAUUUGCAGAAGGGGAACAGACAAAAGAGGCAGUAUGUUGGAGGUGAAUAAUUUGAACAUUUGUGGUAAUACUCAGACUAUAUGUUUUGCAGGAUUUGCUCAGCUUUGCUUAAGAACAUCUUUUCAGAAAAAGAAUGGAGAGCUUCUGUUACACCCCUGUCCUUGCUUCUAAGAAGAAGUGCAGAAUUGUGUUGGCAAGUCUGACCCUAGCAAACUAAGCUAGCUCUCCGGGUGACUUUAGGCUGAAGGAAAAUGUCAAGAAUGGUAGCACAUGAGGAAAGUAAGAGAUGGAACGGAAAGCCUUAGAGUUGCUGCAAAUAUAUUCCUGAAAUACUAUACCUGAAAUAGUAAUUUCCUUCUCAAGCUGGCACAUUCUGCAAUCAUAUUACUUUGAAUAUUUGAUCUCUAUUCCCUUAGUGUUGACCUCACUUCCCACAGCUAUCUGUAGUCCACUCUGC